AACUCGUUAUUUUGGCCAGUUACGAAAACUUCACUUUUGUUGAAGAAGCUAGUAUAUUAGAGAAUGAUUGGGACGAGAUUGAUAAUAUUUGUGGUUCUGCUCGCAACAUUGGAGCAGAUAUUAUCAGCUCAACUGAAAUCAUCCAAUGGUGAUGCAGCUCAAGACUGGAACAUUUAUACAGAACUGACUACAGGCACUAUUGCAGAAGUGCCGCUAGAGGGCAGGGCAUGCAAUGGCAAUGAAUUUCUCUGCACAAACAUAACAGCAUACAAAUCCUGUGAUGCAAUUAAGCUACGAAUUAUUGAAAACCAGUGUCCGCAGGGUUCCUUCUGUAAUACAAAAUGUGCCAAUCCCUGUACGAAUGAUGUAAGAUUAUGUUGAAAAGGAAAUUCUCCUUCACAAAUAAAACAAACAGUUCUGUUGAA